GAUGAGCGCUAGCGGCAGGCUUAAUACAUGCAAGUCGAGGGGCAGCAUGGUGUAGCAAUACACUGAUGGCGACCGGCAAACGGGUGCGGAACACGUACAGAACCUUCCUUCGAGCGGGGAAUAGCCCAGAGAAAUUUGGAUUAAUACCCCAUAGUAUAUUGAAAAGGCAUCUUUUUAAUAUUAAAGAUUUAUCACUUGAAGAUGGCUGUGCGGCUGAUUAGGUAGUUGGCGGGGUAACGGCCCACCAAGCCUGCGAUCAGUAACUGGUGUGAGAGCACGACCAGUCACACGGGCACGGAGACACGGGCCCGACUCCUACGGGAGGCAGCAGUAAGGAAUAUUGGUCAAUGGACGAAAGUCUGAACCAGCCAUGCCGCGUGGAGGAUGAAGGUCCUCUGGAUUGUAAACUUCUUUUAUAUGGGACGAAAAAAGGCUUUUCUAAGUCGUCUGACGGUACCAUAUGAAUAAGCACCGGCUAACUCCGUGCCAGCAGCCGCAGUAAGAC
rnacentral:rRNA from 1 species